rnacentral:rRNA from 1 species
CAAUAGCGUAUAGUAAAGUUGUUGCGGUUAAAAAGUUCGUAGUUGGAUUUCUGCCAAGGACGACCGGUCCGCCCUCUGGGUGAGUAUCUGGCUUGGCCUGGGCAUCUUCUUGGAGAACGUUGCUGCACUUCGCUGUGUGGCGCGGUAUCCAGGACCUUUACUUUGAGGAAAUUAGAGUGUUUCAAGCAGGCUUUCGCCUUGAAUACAUUAGCAUGGAAUAAUAUGAUAGGACCUCGGUUCUAUUUUGUUGGUUUCUAGAGCCGGGGUAAUGAUUAAUAGGGAUAGUUGGGGGCAUUCGUAUUUAACCGUCAGAGGUGAAAUUCUUGGAUUUGUUAAAGACGGACUACUGCGAAAGCAUUUGCCAAGGAUGUUUUCAUUGA